GUUGAACGCUGGCGGCGUGCCUUAUACAUGCAAGUCGAGCGAACGGACGAGCUACUUUCUUCUCUGAUUUUAGCGUCGCACGCGUGAGUAACACGCGGAUAACCUAGCUAUAAGACUGGGAUUACUUAGGCAAACCGGUACUAAUUCCGGAUAAUAUUCUGAACCGCAUGGUUGAAGAGUGAAAGACGGUCUUGCUUUCACUUAUCGGUUGAUCCGCGCUGCAUUAGCUAGUUGGUAAGGUAACGGCUUACCAAGGCAACGAUUCGUAGCUGACCUGAGAGGGUGAUCGGCCACACUGGAACUGAGACACGGUCCAGACUCCUACGGGAGGCAGCAGUAGGGAAUUUUCGGCAAUGGGCGAAAGCCUGACGGAGCAACGCCGCGUGAGUGAUGAAGGUCUUCGGAUCGUAAAACUCUGUUAUUAGGGAAGAACAGGUUUGUAAGAAACUGUGCAGACCUUGACGGUACCUAAUCAGAAAGGCACGGCUAACUACGUG
rnacentral:rRNA from 1 species